rnacentral:lncRNA from 1 species
CACUCCCUCGUGCAUCACUGCAGCCAGGGAUCCCGCAAACCCUGGGCAUGCGGGGGCCACGGCCCCGGGGUCAGCACCAAGGGCACCAGCAACAGGCACCCAUCCAACACUCCAUCUCCAGCAGCUCAGAGAGCACAGCGCCCCCGAGGUACCACUGCCAGACCCACUUAUAGAGAGAAACUGAGCCUCCAAAGGGACCAGGGACCCGUCCAAGGUCACACAGACUUAGAAAGCUAGAAGCCAGGUCUGCCGGUCUCUCACACAAGCAGACAUCCCAGCCUCAGGCGAUGACAACCAGGUGACCUAAGCACAGAGCGGGCUGCGUGUGUCAUGGUGGGGGCGGGGUACUGGCCGGGCAGGCUGGGGAACAGAUGCCAGAAGGGCAGAGUCUCGCAGGGUGAGGGCACUGCUGUCUGGAGAGCAGAGGAAAGGCGCUCCUGCUGGAGGACCAGCUCAUGCUAAGGCCUGGAGGUGCGGCGGCCUGAGAAACACGGCUUGUACGUGACAGAGGGGCCUCUGGAAGCCACCGCCCUCACCUGUGGAGGCCCCUGGACUCCCCCUCCUCCCGGCUUGACCCCCGCCCCGGCAGCUGUGCCUCCAUCCAUCUCUCUGUCUGCCCUCCUCCGGCUGCCCCGAGGCCCAGCCCCUGAGCCGGCUCCUCCUCAGCAUCCUGCUCUUUCCACAUUGUCCGGUCUUGGCUCAGACACAACAGAGCCCACUGUGCACCUGAAGCCAGAAGCAUCUUCUCCAGCGGAGGCCGAGCACGUCGCUCCCUGCUCCUGCUCCCCUGCUCCUUAGAAACUGACCCAGGGCCCUUGCUGUGGAACUGAGCUUAGCCUAACGAGGCAGCUCAGAGGCAGGCGCCGGCCAGCCAGCCAGCGCCCAAGCUCACAGAAGAGACGGAGAAAGCCUCAUCAGCAGAGCGUUCCGUCAUCGCAGCUGACUGCUCUCCAGGCCUGAGCUGGGGGAUAUCGAAGUUCGGAGACG